rnacentral:lncRNA from 1 species
UAAGGUUCUUCUCUAGCUUUCCCUUUGUUUAUUACCUUCACCAUCAUUUUAGCUAUUAUUUCUGAGAACAUAAAAUAGUCCUAAUGAAGUAUUAGUAGAAACUACACUACUGAACUUUAAGCACCUUUCGCUUCUAUAGCCCCACGACUUCAUCUAAAAGUAUCUGAGUUGAAUAAUCAAAUAACCAAGUCAUUAUGCUUAUCCUAAGUACAUGCAAAUUGAUUUCCACUUACUAGUUUACUUCAUGGGUUUUUUAUUCCCAAUGAUCGUAUAAAUAUAAACUAAGAGAGACAAAAAUAGAAAUGCAAAAUGAUGGUGAUAUAUACACAACAAAACUAUAAACCAAAUUUGUUUCGAUCAUGUAACUAAACAUGCCCUUGUUUGUCCCAUGAUACAGGUAUUUGCAAGCAGUGAGUCAUGUGAUGUUUCUCUCCCAGGUGACAACGAUCCUUAUUGGUUGGCCUAUAUGGGUGAUGGACAUUCUGUUUAUUUCACUGUGCCUCAAGAUCGUGUGGUGAAGGGAAUGGCUUUGUGUGUUGUUUAUUUAUCAACCUCCGAAAUCAUUGAACCUGAACUUACUACUGUCUUAAUUGUUAAUUACACGAAGUGCACAUGCCAAAUACACAACCAUGGGACAGUAAUUUCCUUUAAUGAUGAAGAUUGGCCUAAUAUAAUGUCAAAUUUAGGAUCAGGAGAUAAAGUGGAGAUUUUUGUGAGUUUUGGUGAUGGAUUGGUGGUCAAGAACACAGCUGUCUAUUUGAUAUGUGGUGAAUCAAAUGAGUUAGAAAAGGAGGCUGUGCCAAAGAAAAAAUCGCUCCUUAAAUUCAUAAAGAGAACUCUAAUGUGAGUUCUAGUAAGUCAUUUAUAUUUGAGAACUUUGAGUUAUGGAAUUAAUCCUUGUGUCCUUCAUUGCAAUUUAUUUUUUCUGAUCUGUCCUUGUUUUUCUUUGAGUAUAGCUCAUAGUUACGAGAUUCAUAUUUAUUUUACCCUGUUUCUCACUCCUCACAUUGUUUACUUGAACUGUUUAUUGUAUUUGCUUUGUUGUUGUUACUUUUUGUCAAUUCUAUUCCCUUCUUAGCAUAUAAUAUUGCAUUCAGAAAAUCUCGUAAAAAAUAUUGCAUUAUGAAAUAAAGAUAGCUGCGGUUCGAUAAUUUGUUAUGUGUUUUGCCUUGCUAUAUGCUAUGCAGUCUCUGUUUUUGUUUCAACAUAAGAAGCACCGUAGCCUCAUCCCUUUAUUUUAAGACUAAAACAAAGUUUGAUUUCAUUUCUCCUUAUUUACACUGAUUAUAUUUUUUUAUGUCUAAUUUAAAAAUAUUUAAAUUUUUUCAAUUUACAUUUAUAAGUUUCAUUACAGUUUUCAGUUAUGUAAAGUCACCAAAUUAUUUUAAAUUUUAAAUUUUCAACUAAUUUUUUUCAAAUAUAGUCAUGAUCUUUCAAAAUAUUUUAAUCUGUUAUAAAUUGUUUUAAAAUUAAUUCUUAUAAAUUAAUAUUCAUUUGAUAUGUGCAAAUAUAAUCUUUAAAAAAUUCAAAAAAUAACCAUGUAGACAAAUACCGCUAAUAGUUAAAAAAAAUUCAAAUGUGUACUUUUUAUUGACAAUUAGUUUAGGCUUUUAUGUUUCAAAUAUAAAGUUAAAUGUUCAACUGUAUUACAAAACAAAAAGAUAUUCAUACAAAAUCUCCAUUCUAUGAUCCUCACCAGAAAAAAGCAUUGAAAGAUAUGAUAGCACUUGAUCCACCAUGAUGAUAGCACUUGAUCCACCAACACCAAUCCUGCUACAAUGUUCAUACCUUCACUGCUACAAUGUAGUAGGCACGUACCUGCAUCAAACCACCCCUCUCAACCUUAAACUGUAUAACUUACCAUAAUUCUCCUUUCCUUCAUAAUCCAAUAAACCAUUUCCCAUUAUAUUUCACAACACAUAUUAAUAACAUAUCCGUACUAGUCAAACAACUCUUCACUUCAAAAAUAAAUAAAUGACAUAUUGUCUCAUCAUCCUCCCCACGCAUAGUUCCAAAACUCACCAUGUUGUGGUAUAUGAUGAAGAGAGUGCCUUAAUCCUCUAAAAAUUCUCGUACAUGGACAUGCCUUCCCCCUUCUACUUCGCCCUUUAAGAUUCUAUAUGCUGAUUUAAUCGUAUAAUUUGAUGUUUCUCCUUCCUUCCUUACCCACUUAUCGUCUUUUUCCAUGUUUAAACUUGUGUCUUCCAAAACAUGUGCGAAUUGAUGCGCUUGGUUAUUUUCCCACUCAAAUAAAUUCCUUCUCCAUUCUAACUUCUAUAACCAAUUGUUAUUAUUCCACUCCCUAACCUAAUACAACUUAAAAUCUCUGUUUGUGCUUAAACAAAAUAAUCUCAGAGAACUUAUUUUUUAGUUCUUCAUUAUCCGCUCAUUUAUCUUCCCAAGAACUAAUCUCCAUCCCAUUUCCUGCCUCCCAAGUUACAAUAUCAUCAAAUUUACUUUCCCAUGAAGCCCAUGCUAUUUUCCUACCCUCCGAACAUCAAUCCCAUAAAAAUUUUCUUUGCAAUUUCACUAUCUCCUUUGUCACCAUUAUUGGCAUUUUAUAUAAAGAUAAAUGAAAUAGAGGGAGAGAUGAAAGCACUGAUUUAAUUAAGCAUAUCCUACCUGCCGUAGAUACAAAUUUAUCAUUCCAUCUACCUAAUCUAUUCCUCAUUCUUUCCACCACAUCCUCUAGAAUUUAUCUCUUGUGGCACCCCCCCAACUAACAUUCUCAGAUAUUUAAAUGGUGUUUUCAUCACAUCACAAUUAAGAAUUUCCGCAAAAUAUUGAAUCAGAUUGUGAUUGACUCCCACCCCUCCAAUUUUACUCUUUAGAAAAUUUACCUUAAAGCCAGAUGCUAAUUCAAAGCAGUUUUAGAUUACCUUUAUAAUAAACACACUUUGAGUAUUGACUUUACAGAAAAAUAGUGUAUCAUCCGCGUAUUGUAACAUAUUCACCUUAACCAACUUAUCCCCAAUCUCCAUACUUUCUAUCAUAUUUUUCUUAACUGCUUUUCUUACACCCCGUACUAAUCCUUCUACCACUAUAAGAAACAAGAAAUGUGCUAAGGGACUCCUUGUCUCAGCCCCUUCUGUGGUUUAAAUUCCUAAGUUGGACUCCCACUCACUAAUACUGACACCGAAGAUGAUUCUAAACAUGCUUUUACCCAAACUAUCCAUCUUUCACAAAGAACCUAACCUUCCUAACAUAUAGUAGAUGAACUCCCAUCUUAAUGACUCAUAAGACUUCAUUGGCCACAAGCACACUAUCCAUUAACCCCUUACCUUCUAAAAGCGUUGACUGCCAAAGAUCAAUAACUUUAUGUGACUAUAUAUAUUCUUCUUGAUCUCUUCCUAACAAAUUUUAUAAAACCAAAAUUAAAGUCGUCACAACAUUUCAUCUUCUAUAAUACUUCCUACUAACAUUUCAUCUUCUCCAUAAAUAGUUUUAAAAUUUGUAUUAUCUAACCUGACUUUUCCUUAACAACCACUUGAUCCUCACACCAUUGGCCAUUCUCUAGCAAACCAUUAAUCCCAUUUCUUGACCUUCACCAUUUAGUUAUAGAGUGAAAAAAAUUGGUAUUAAGAUCACCUUGCUUCAACCACCUAUGACGAGCUUUCUGUUGCAUUAUAGCUUCUUGUUUAAAAUUAUUUUUACUAUGCUAACAAACACAAACUUACUUUCCUCUCUUCCUUCCUAAUCUAACUCAUUCUUGUCAUUUGUUGCAUCUAACUCUUGAUUUUUUCUUUGUUCCAUAUUUUUAAAUCAAAUUUUAGUUUUUUCAAUUUUUAUUUAAAAAUAAACACCUUGCUACCUUGCACCUCAUAUCUAUUCCAUUUAUUCCAUAUGAAGUCUUUGAAUCUGCCAUCUCUUUGCCAGAUGUUCAAACACCUAAACAGUUUCGGACCCUAAUUCUUACUCAUGUCUUUUAACACCAAUGUACGAUGACCGAACAUUGAUUUAUGUUAACAUAUUUAGUUUUUUCUAUUUUAACUUAUUGGACUUUGUUUGUUUGGCCCAACUUUCCUUUUCUGUUUCAGCCAGGUCUUAGUCUUUUUCUUAUAUAUACACAAUUUAUUUUAUUCUCUAAUACACAAGUAAAUAAGAAUUUCUUUUGUAUUUUCUUUUCUUUGUUUUUCUCUUUGAUCUUUAUUUCCCCCUUUGUUGUUCUUGGUUAUCUUUUAUGUUCUCUUUCAAAAUCUUGAUUGGGUUUCAAAAUCUCUUAGGCAAUGUCUAAUGAAAACCAUAGUCUUAAUAGUAGCCACACUAUUACAUGCAAUUUAUGUGGUAAAUACGGUCAUAUUGAGGCUGUUUGUUUUCGCAAAGUGGGUUUUCCUUCUAGUAAUGUUAAAACCUCAAAGUUUUUUUCUACUAGAAAAGUCUGCACUUUUUGUAAUCAUAUUGGCCACACUACCGACACCUGUUAUAAAAAGCAUGGGUUCCCUCCUGGCUACAAAUUCACCAAUUGGACAUCCCUAACCAAUAAUAUGAUUACUACUGACACUUUUUUUGAGCUUUUUCCUAAAGAACAAGAUGUAAAGGGGAUUCAACUUACAUCACAACAGUGUCAAUUCUUGACCAACAUUUUGCGUCAGCAAAACCUUGAGGAUCCUGCCCCUCACACUCAAAUUAAUCAAGUUGACACCUUCUCUGCGGAUGAAAUCCCCAAUACUGAGCAAUCUUCAAUAUGUAAGUUUCUCUCUUCACUAUCUGCUAUAAAAGAAUCUUGGAUUAUUGAUUCUGGUGCCACAUAUCAUGUUUGCCACAAUUUGAACAUUUUUACUACUUAUACUAAAAUUAAACCUGUCUUAAUUAGUCUUCCAAAUGACCAAACUGUUUAUGCCACAUAUUCUGGUUUAGUACGUUUUUAUGAUAAGUUUUAUUUGUCUGAUGUGUUAUAUGUGCCUCAUUUUCAAUUAAACUUAAUAUCUGUUUCUAAACUCACACACCAACUUAAAUGCACUUUAACUUUCACUUCAACCCACUGCAGUAUACAAGACAAUCUCACCCAAGAGAGGAUUGGUAUAGUUAAAGCCACUGCUAGCUUGUACCUUGUCACUACCUUGCCUGUUUCUAGCCAUUUUAAACCACAUUGUUUUGCUCCUUUUAUUAAUUGUAAUAUCAUGGACAAAACACUGUGGCAUUAUAGACUAGGACACCGUUCACUUGAAAGAUUACAUGUCUUAAGCGAACAAUACUCUUUUAUUACUGUUGAUACUCAUCAUGUAUGUGACACUUGUAGUCGUUUAAAGCAGAGAAAACUUCCUUUCACUUUAAGUAAUAUUGUUACCUCUGCUAUUUUUGAUCUUGUACACUUUGAUAUUUUGGGACCAUGUUCCAUAACUUCUAUGCAAGGUUUUCGUUAUUUCUUGACUAUUGUUGAUGAUUACUCGCGUUAUACUUGGGUUAUUUUGCUGCAUAACAAAUCUGAAGUGCGUCAGCAUAUCAUUAACUUCAAUAUUUUCAUUCAAAAUCAUUUCAAAACUAAUAUCAAAAUGAUUUGUACUGACAAUGGUGUUGAGUUUGCUAUGUCAAAUUUUUAUGCUUCAAAGGGAAAUAUACAUAAAAAAUCUUGUCUUGAAACACCAUAGCAAAAUGGCAUUGUAGAAUGUAAACAUCAACACAUACUAAAUGUAACCUGAGCUUUACUUUUUCAAGCAAAUCUUCCUCCUAUUUUUUGGGAAUUUGCUGUAAAUUAUGUUGUUUUUUUAAUAAAUGUUAUUCCUACUCCAUUACUUAAUAAUAUCACUCCUCAUGAAAAGUUGUUUGGAAAACUGUAUGACAUUUCCUUUUUAAAAGUGUUUGGUUGUCUUUGUUAUGCUAGUACCAUUACUGCACAUAGGACAAAAAUUAGAUGAUAGAUCUAUCAAAGGUAUUUUUCUUGGCUUCCCGCAAAAUACAAAAGGUUAUAUUAUCUUAAAUUUAAAGUUUCAUAGCAUAGAGAUAUCAAGACAUGUAAUCUUUCAUGAAAACCACUUUCCAUAUAAAUUGGACAGUGGCUUGCCUAGGGACCCGAAUACUUUAUCUCUCCUUAUUUCUAAUGCAUAUAAUUAUGCUUUUGAUUUUUUUUUUUUUGAUAUUGCACUUCCUGCCGAGCCAUGUACCUCUACUCCUACACCUAAUAUUGUCCCUCCACCAACCUCAUUAUCCUCUGAUCUUUCAGCAAAUAAUGUCUCUGCUCCUGCAUCCAACAUUGCACCUCCACCAGAAUUAUCAAUGCCUGCACCUCCAGGAAGCACUUCACCCCAAUUCCCAAGAAGAUCAGUCUGUCUUCACUGACAACCUGCCCAUCUUGCAAAUUUACACACUGCAACCAACAUUGUGGGUAGUAGAUAUCCUAUUCAUAAUUACUUGUCUUACAAUUCCUUAUCUUCCAAUUUUAGGAAUAUUAUUUCCUCUAUCAAUUCUCAUCAUGAACCUCUGACCUAUAACGAAGCCUCCAAACAUGCUUCUUGGCAAUCUGCCAUGCAAGAUGAGUGUCAAGCUCUUGCUGCUAACAAUACUUGGCAACUUACCUCUCUCCCUCCAGGAAAGAAAACUAUUGGUUGUAAAUGAGUAUAUAAAAUCAAAUACCAUUCUAAUGGCACUGUUGAGCGCCACAAAGCUAGAGUUGUUGCCAAAGGGUUCAUCCAACUUGAAGGACUUGAUUUCUUAGACACUUUUGCACCUGUUGCUAAACUCACUACCCUCUGUCUUCUCCUUGUUGUUGCCACUACCAAAAAUUGAAUUUUAAAACAACUUGAUGUUUAUAAUGCCUUUCUUCAUGGUAAUCUCCAUUAAGAGGUAUACAUGACCCCCCACCUGGCCUCUCUCUUCCUUCUCCCAAGCAUGUCUGCAAGCUUCAACGGUGUUUGUAUGGCCUUCGUCAAGCUGGUUGCCAAUGGUACGCCAAGCUUUCUACUUUUCUUUUAUCAAAUUAUUACUCUAUUUCUGCUACUGAUCACUCUCUUUUUCUUAAAUAUAAUAACGAUAAACUCACUGUUAUUCUUGUUUAUGUUGAUGAUUUGGUCUUAACUGGUGAUGACACGGUGGAAAUCAAUACAAUUACUGCAUCCUUUCACAUCACUUCAAGAUAAAAAUAUUUAGGUCAUCUCACUUACUUUUAGGGACUGGAAAUUGCUCGCAACAGUUAUGGUCUUCAUUUAAGUCAACGCAAGUAUACUCUUGAUCUUCUUCACGAAACUGGCAUGCUUGACUCUGCACCUGUGGCCACUCCUUUUGAUGUUGAUGCAACUUCCCAAAUACAGAAGACUCCUUGGACGUCUAAUCUACUUAACCAACACGCGGCCAAACAUCGCCUUCACUGUCCACAAUUUAAGUCAAUUCAUAUCUGCACCCACAACUCAUCAUCAACAAGUUGUCUCACGUCUUUUGCGUUACCUCAAGGGCACCCCUGGUGAAUGACUAUAUUUUUCUCAUAAUAGCUCACUUCACCUUUGUGGUUUUAGUGACUCUGAUUGGACAACAUGGCAUACCACACACAAAUUUGUCACUGGAUAUUCCAUGUGUUGAACCAAGUGGUGUUCAAGCUUUGAAGAAUCCAAACCCUUUGAAGGUUGUUGAAGGCUUGGUUGUGCUUGCUGUUGCUGAGCUGUCUUAGACAGGAUCUGGGGUAGUUUGUUUAUGUAAUCCACUCUUGAUUGAAUCUAAAGCAUAGGCACUCUCAAUCUUUGCCCUACCAAAUGCAACCGUGGGCUUGGUUAAAAAACAAGGCUCCAAUGACGCUAUUUUCUUUUUCCAACUGGGUCCAAUAUCCGAUUACUUGCAUUAANNNNNNNNNNNNNNNNNNNNNNNNNNNNNNNNNNNNNNNNNNNNNNNNNNNNNNNNNNNNNNNNNNNNNNNNNNNNNNNNNNNNNNNNNNNNNNNNNNNNUAAAAAAAAAAGUUUACAAAGGAUGUUAACCAUAUUAAUUAAUUCAAUUCAUCUGCCUAUAUAUUACGCAUAUCUAUAUGAGUGGUUAAGAGUGAACUAUUAAAUAAAUUUAUUUUCUCUCUACGCCUUCCACUCAUUCUCUUUCUUAUUAAUAGAUUCCUCUAUAAAUAGGUUCAUACUUCCACUAUUCUCUUUCUUAUUAAUAGAUUCCUCUAUAAAUAGGUUCAUAUUUCUUAUGUAUAGUGUUCUUUGCACACACAUUCCAACUAAGAGUACCUCCUGAUAGAAGGCAUGAAGAUCUCAUCUACGCUUUGAAAAGAAAGAUUAUAUAAGAUAAUCUCCACUCGUGUAAGAAAGGAAAGUACAAUGUAUUUUUUUAGUUCUUGCCAAUAUAAUACUUUUGUCAUACAUGUCAAAUUUUUAUUUUAAAUCCAACCACAUAUUAGUUUCAUGUUAUUAUCCCCAUUCACUUCAAAAAGUUUAACAGAAGCUAAAAACAACUUUUUAAAAGUACAGAACGAAGAGAUAAGAAUAAAAGUGCAUGGAUAAAAUAAAAAAUAUUAGGAGGGAAAAUAUUUAACCGUGACUAAGGUUUAAAAUAAUAGUUGGGAUGAUAUUUCACCAUUGCUUAGCAGCCUUGCAAAUCUUCGAAGUGUUUUGGUGCAAUGUGACGCCAAGUUUGAACUACAUGAGCAAGUAAAAAGUAUAUUGGUCGAAUAUGAUGCAAAUAUUACAGAAUCAGGAAUUUCAAAGAAUAAUUUCAGGUCUUCUCUGACUGGUGUCGGAAGAUACAAAGAAUUCUUCAAUACUGUGAGCGAUAGCAUACCUAAGGUUCUUCUCUAGUUUUCCCUUCGUUUAUUACCUUCACCAUCAUUUUAGCUAUUAUUUCUGAGAACAUAAAAUAAUCCUAAUGAAGUAUCUAGUAGAAACUACACUACUGAACUUUAAGCACCUUUCGCUUCUAUAGCUUCCACUUUAUUGCUUUACUAGCUUCAUGGUUUUUUUAUUCCUAAUGAUCGUAUAAAUAUAAACUGAGAGACAAAAACAGAAAUGCAAAAUGAUGGUGAUAUAUACACAGCAAAACUAUUAACCAGAUUUGUUUUAAUCAUGUAUAACAUUUUUGUUUCACUAAACAUGCCCCAGUUUGUCACAUGAUACAGGUAUUUGCAAACAGUGAGUCAUGUGAUGUUUCUCUCCCAGGUGACAACGAUCCUGAUUGGUUGGUCCAUAUGGGUGAUGGACAUUUAUAAGAAUGGCUUUGUGUGUUGUUUAUUUAUCAACCUCCGAAAUCAUUGAACCUAAACUUACUACUGUCUUAAUUGUUAAUUACACGAAGUGCACAUGCCAAAUACACAACCAUGGCACAAUAAUUUCCUUUAAUGAUGAAGAUUGGCAUAACAUAAUGUCAAAUUUAGAAUCAAGAGACUAGGUGGAGAUUUUUGUGACUUUUGGUCAUGAUUUGGUGAUUAAGAACACAGCUGUCUAUCUGAUAUAUGGUUUGCCAAGGAAAAUUCCCUCAUUAGAUUCAUAAAAAAAAUUGUAAUGUGACUUUUCGGGUAAGUCAUUAUCUCCUUUUUGAACAGGAAGGUCAUUUUUUCCCCAUCUUUUCCUUUCUUUAUAGUGUAGCUUAUAGUUAAAAAAUUCAUGUUUAUUUUACCCUGUUUCUCACUCCUCAGUGGUGCUUCCUUGGCUUUGCUUAAGCUGUUUAUUGUAUUUGUUUUCUGGAUUUUACUUUUGUCAAUUAUUUUCCCUUUUAGCAUAUAAUAUUUCAAUAGGAAUCCUCUUAAAAUAAGACAUUGCAUUAUGAUAUAAAGACAGCUGCAGUUUGAUAUUUUGCUAAGUGUUCUGUUUUGCUAUCUUGUAGGUAGUCUCUGUUUUCGUUUGAACAUAAUAAACAUUCAAAGGAUAUGUAUAGACACAACCAUUCAAAGGACACCAAAGAUGAGUACAUUUUUUUUAUAGUGGUGCAAGCGCGUUUAAAAAAUUCGACCAACGCACGCCAACUUUGAACCACUGGAAAAAUAAAUAUUAUACUAAUACAGUUGAAAUUUUCUCCAAUAUAUUCCUUUUUUCUAUAUUAUGCGUCCAUGUUUUUAAGUUUUAAAAUAUAACACAUGCUUCUUUGUUUACAUUACCCAUCUCGUUAAGAUAAAUCAUAAACAAAAAAAAUGUAUAAAUCUAGUUUGAAAAGAAUUACGACAAGUCAUUUUUUAUAAACAAGAAGAAACAGGGUAAUAUAAAUAUGAAUUUGUUAACUGUAAGCUAUACUCAAAGAAAAACAAGGAUAGGAUCAUAGGAUUAAUUCCAUAACUCAAGGGUUCCUACUGUUCUCAAAGAAGAUAAAUUACUUACCAGAAGUCACAUAGGGAUAUAUAUCCAAUGCUUGUUGGGUUUACAAUUGAAAAAGGCAUUUGUUUGACAGCUGUAUUUUCAGCAAUUAUAGUUAUCAAGGAUUUCAUUCACACUAUAUCUUUUUCUAUUAGGUGAAUCUUCCAACAACCAGAUAGAAUCAGAGUUUUUAAGGAUUUCAACUUAUACAUCUUUCUGGGGAGAUUGCUUAGAUUUGUACAGUCCUGCAAAUUUAGCAAUGUAAGAUACAAGAGGCAUCCAAUAGAUUGGUCUACUUCCCUCAAUCUUGGACAAUCUUUGAGAAUGAGUUGUUAAAGACUUGGUAUCGGAAAAGUCAGGGGUUUCUAUCAAGAUUAAGGACUUUUAGCCACGUCAAAACCUUGAAGAAGAUAGUUUUUGAUAAAAUAUCAGAGAAGUAAAUGAGAAAACGAAAUAGUUAUAAGUGGAAACAAAUAAUGAUUUUAAAAGAGAAUGACACGUAAUAAAACCUUGGGUUCUUUCCAAACGAAUCGAACAAGACUGUGUUUUAAGUCAAUCUCUAUUGCAUCAUGCAGAUAAAUAUUGUUUUAUAGGUAUUCUUAUAAAACAGGUACCCCUAAAGUAUCCCUCUUAAUUUAAUUCAUUCAUUGCUGAUAAAAAAAAAAAAUAGGUAUUCUUAUAAAGGUACUCGGAAUGUCCAGCGAAUUUCAGCAGUCUUACCUCUAAAGGAUAACGUUCCAAGAAAUCACUUGCGGUAGGCAAUCUCUGAAUCACUUUUGUCCUUUUAGAUGAAAAGAGCAAAGAAAAAGAAAUAUAUUGCUCAUGAGAAAGCAACCACUUCCAAAAAGAAGUUUCAAAACCAUAGAUAAAGGGUGUUCUUACCGUAUGCUCUGACAGUGCAUAUUCUGCAUCCUUAUUAAACCACAGUUGACUGUUCUUCCCUGAAAUUUGACGAAUAAUUUAUCUUCCCAUUUGUCUUCCUAAUUUGUUGUUCUUAUUAUGAGACUACGCUGUAUGAGAACUCUUAUUCCACUAUCAGCAUCUAUUCCACAGCCAUUUAGGAUCUUAGUAACGUAGACACUGUCCUUACUAACAAAGGAAAUAACAUACAUCAAGGAAUAAAUCUUUUUCCAUUUGAUUGUGUACACCGUCGAAGCUUGUUUUCAGUAUUUUGUAAAAUAAAUAUGAAUUUAACUAUGAGCUAUACUCAAAGAAAAACAAGGAAAGGAUCAGAAAGAUAAAUUGCACUAGAGGACACAAGGAUUAAUUCCAUAACUCACGGGAUCAUGCAAAAAAAAGUGGUUAGGUAGGUAAAACCCUCGCAAACUGAUUGAUCUUAAUUUCGCAGGAAGGUACUCAGAGUCUGCAGCUAGUUUCAAAAGUCUUGAUGAGUCUCUUAGACCUACAGGAAAGUUUCAAAAGUUUCGAUAUUAUGUUGUGUUUAGUUUAGCUAUCUGUUUGGUAGUGUCUGUUUUUGUUUCUACAUAAUAAGCACCGUAGCCUCUAUUCAUGAACCUAGGUUCUAUUGUGAUGAUCCAUCAUAGCCAGAUAGUAGAACAUAUUUUACCAUCCCCCAAAAAUCCAGUUUUAAAGCCCGGUCAUUGAAAUUGCCAGAUCUCACCAAAAUUGUAUUACUGAGCAUCAUAUGAUGUGGUCGGCAAAAGUUGUAUUGGUCCAAAGAAAGCUUCAUGAAACGUACCAUCUGACACAACCUAUGAAGCAUAUUGACACAGACACUGAUAUACAACACAGACACGAAAAUACGUAUAAUCUCUAAAAUGUAGGAUACGGGGACACGAUUUAUAUAUUAUAUAAUCAUGAAUUAUAUAAAUUAAUAAUAAAGAUUUAUGUGCAAAGUAUGUUUGAGUUAUUUUUGGAACAAAAAGAUUUUCUCAUAGCUGGUUCAAAAGGAUUUGUUCUUUAUUUUUAUAAUCAUAAUACGGGUAGAACGUAUACCUUUACGGAUAGCAAUAGGAAGAUCAAGUUCAACUGUUGGAGGUUCAACUGUCGUUGGAUGAGGAAAUAAAAUAGAAUGAGGAAUUUUGUUAUCUAAAACUGAAGAUGGCAUGCGAUUAAUGAGAUAACAUGCACUAAGAACAACAUCACCCCAAAAACACUGAGGAACAUCACCAUGGAUUAAAAUAGUACGAGUUGUUUUAACCAGAUGUCUAUUCUUGCGCCCAGCUACCCCAUUUUGUUAAGGUGUAUAAGCACAUGAAGUUUGAUGAAGAAUACCAUGAGAAGCCAUACAAUUUUGGGGAUAAUAAGUGAGACGACUGGAUAAUAAGUUAAAUGGAGACCCAAAAACAUAAAGAACAUUAUCAAUAGAUAAAGUAUGAAAAAGAUUAAUAGUACCAACACCAUGUGAUGGUAGCCUAUAUUCAUUGGCCAUGGUAACCGAAGGUAAAUAACCCGUAGUUGUACUUGUAAAGGGCUAAGACAGUAUUUGCAACCGGUUGGACAACUAAUUCUUCCCCUUGGUCACGCUUUACUUACUUUCCUUCUUCUUGCAUUCAGGUUUCGGCUCUCUACGGGAGUGCACCUACAAAAGGUUCUUUGAUGCUCAAGUGAGUAUUCAAUAUUUAAGUGCUAUUAAUGUUGUAAUAGUGAAGUACCUUUGCUUUGUCUAAUGUGCUUAUUUAUACCAGUGUAAUUGACUCUAUCAUUGAUGGGUCAUGUUUAUUGUGUAUAAUCAUAAAAAUGAAAUUACCUAAUAUAUCACGUAUUCCUUUUUACUUUGAUGUAUUUACACUAGUUAGUUGUGCGACAUCUGAUACCAAGUGUUAUAGGAUCAUUCGGCCUCGACCGAUACAUGUUUGAUCAAUCAAGAAGAGGUGCAAGUUUUGACCCUAAAUAUAAUAUUGUGGAUAUUCAAAUGAGUUCAAGAUACCAACCAUUUGAUCCAUUUAAUCUAGCACAGAUAAGUGAACAAUGUCCUAUAUCCAACAUUUCAAGUAGACAAACAUGGUUGAUGUGUUGAAUUAAAGCCAGCCUAAGGUCACAUUGACUCAAAUGAUGGAAGAGAACGUCCCUUACCAAGUAGAUCAAAUGUCACAUGCCAAUAAAAUCAUUGAAGUGGAAGGUAUAUUUGGAUUACAGAGGAAGAAGAGAGAACAAGAAGUUGAUGAUGAUGAUGUGGAGGAGUAAGAAACAGGGUAAAGUAAAUGCAUGCGGCUAUUAUUAGAUGACCUACAGUGGCAUCGUCUAUGGCUUAUAUAUAUAUAUAUAUAUAUAUAUAACAAUGCUUGCGGCUCAUACAUACCCAUACAUGCAGUUCAUGUAACAAAAUUUAUAAAUGUAAAUUGAAAAAAAAAUGAAAUACUUUUAAAUUAUACAUAAAACAAAUAGAAUCAGUGUAAAUAACGAGAAAUGAAAUCAAACUUUGUUUAAUUUAGUUUGAAAUAAAGCGAUGAGGCUACGGUGCUUCUUAUGUUGAAAUAAAAACAGACUACAUAGCAUAUAGUAUGGCAAAACACAUAACAAAUUAUUGAACCGCAACUAUCUUUAUUUCAUAAGAAAUACGAGGAUUUCUGAAUGAAAUAUUAUAUGCUAAAAGGGAAAAGAAUUGACAAAAGUAACAACGAGAAAGCAAAUCCAAUAAACAGCUAAGUAAAGCCAAGCAAGCACAAUGUGAGAAAUGAGAAACAGGGUAAAAUAAAUAUGAAUCUCGUAACUAUGAGCUCUACUCAAAGAAAAACAAGGAAAGAUCAGAAAAAAGAAUUGCAAUAAGGACACCAGGAUUCAUUCCAUAACUCAAGGGAUCCGGCUGUUCUCACAUUACAAUUUUCUUUAUUAAUCUAAUAAAAGAUUUUUUUCUUUGGCACAGGCUCCUUUUCUAAGUCAUUCGAUUCACUACAUAUUAGAUAGACAGCUGUGUUCUUGACUACCAAUUCAUUACCAAAACUCACAAAAAUCUCCACCUUGUCUUUUGAUCCUAAAUUUGACAUUAUGUCAGCCCAAUCUUCGUUGUUGAAGGAAAUUACUGUGCCAUGGUUGUGUAUCUGGCAUGUGCACUUUGUGUAAUUAACAAUUAAGACAGUACUAAGUGCAGGUUCAAUGAUUUCAGAGGUUGAUAAAUAAACCACACACAAAGCCAUUCCCUUCACGACACGAUCUUGAGGCACAGUGAAAGAAACAGAAUGUCCCUCACCCAUAUGGGCCAACCAAUAAGGAUCAUUGUCACCUGGGAGAUAAGCAUCACAUAACUCACUGCUUUCAAAUAUCUGUAUCAUGUGAUAAACAAGGAUAUGUUUAGUUAAACAAAAAUGUUAUACAUGAUUAAAACAGAUCUGGUUAAUAGUUUUGUUGUGUAUAUAGCACUUUCAUUUCUUUAAGGAUUUAGAAUGCAUUUCUGUUUUUGUCUCUCUUAGUUUAUAUUUCAAUGAUCAUUGGGAAUAAAGCAAUCAUGAAGCUAGUAAAGCAAGAAAGUGGAAAUCAAUUUGGUAGUACUUAGUAUAAGCAUAAUCACUUGAUUAGUUGUUUAUUAAAAUAAGAUACUUUUAUAUGAAGUCGUGGGGCCAUCGAAGGGAAGAGAUAUAAAAGUUCAGUAUUUUAGUUUGUACUAUAUACUUGAUUAGGAUUAUUUUCUGUUCUCUUAAAUAAUACCUAAAAUGAUGUUGAAGGUAAUAAAAAAGGGAAAGCUAGAGAAGAACCUUAGGUAUGCUACUGCUCCCAGUAUUGAAGAAUUGUUUGUAUCUUCCAACACCAGUCAGAAAAUACCUGAGGUGAUGCUUUGAAAUUACUGAUUCUGUAAUAUUUGCACCAUAUUCGGCCAGUAUGGUUUUUACUUGCUUAGAUAGUUGAAACUCGGCGUCACAUUGCACCAAAACACUUCGAAGAUUUGCGAGGCUGCUAAGCAAUGGUGCAAUAUCAUCCCAACUAUUAUCUUCCGUAUGCAUGAAGGAAUGAAUAUAAGAUAGGGGAUUCGUUGUUGGCGACAUCCGAGACCGAAUGAUAGAAGGAAAAAGAUUAUGUGACGAUUCCUCAAAUCCACGUAGGGAUAUAUAUCCAAUGCUUUUUCGGCUUACAAUUGUAAAAGGCAAUUGUUUCAUAACUGUAUUUUCAGCAAUUAUAGUUAUCAAGGAUUUCAUUCGCACUCUAUCGUUUUCCAUUAGGUCCAUCUUCGAACAACCAGAUAGAAUCAGAGUUUUUAAACAUUUCAGCUUAUAUAUCUCUUCGGGGAGAUUGCUCAGACUUGUACAAUCCUUCAAAUUUAGCAGUAUAAGAUUGCAGAGACAUCCAAUAGAUUGGUGUACUUCACGCAAUCUUGGACAAUCUUUGAGAAUAAGCUGUUCAAGACUUGGUAGUCCGGAAAAGUCAGGGGUUUCUUUUAAGUACUUUGAGUGACUAAGAUUAAGGACUUUUAGCCACGCCAAAACCUUCAAGAAGAUAGUUUUUGAUAAAACGGUAGAGAAGAAUAUGAGAAAACGGAAUAGUUAUAAGUGGAAACAAAUAAUAAUUUUAAAACAAAAUGACACGUAGUAAAAACCUGGGGUUCUUUCCAAACGAAUCGAAGAAGACUGUGUUUUAAAUCAAUCACUAUUGCAUCAUGCAGAUAAAAGUCGUUAGGUAGGUAUUCUGAAGAAAACCCUUGCAUACUGAUCCAUCUCAGUUUCUUAGAAUGGUACUCGGAAUGUCCAGCGAAUUCCAGCCGUCUUGAUGCGUCUCUUGCCUCUAAAGAAUAACGUUCCAAGAAAUCACUUCCGAUAGGCAAUCUCUGAAUCACUUUUGUCCCCUUAGAUGAGAAGAGCUAAGAAAGAAAUAUAUUACACAUGAGAAAGCAACCACUUCCAAAAGAAGUUUCAAAAGCAUAGAUAAAGGAUGUUCUUACCGUAUUCUCUGACAGUACAUAUUCUGCAUCCUUAUCAAAACACAGUUGACUGUUCUUCCCAGUUUCCUUUCUUGAAAUUUGACGAAUAAUUUCUCUUCCCAUUUGUCGUAGCAACGGAUGCAUUCCUAAUUUGUUGUUCUUAUUAACUCGUAUAAGACUACGCUCUGUCAGAACUCUUAUUUCACUAUCAGGGUCUAUUCCACAGCCAUUUAGGAUCUUGGUAACAUACGCUCUGCCUUUACCAACAAAGGAACAACAUAAAUCAAGGAAUAAUUUUUUUUCCAUUUGAUUGCAUAAACCGUCGAAGCUUAUUUUCAAUAUCUGGUCAAAUUUACGGUCGGGAAUUUUCUUUAAUUUUAAGAGUACUCUAUUCCAUUCUUCUUUCGUCCUUUCAUAUAAAUAACUUUCAAUGACUUCAAGAGCUAGAGGUAGUCCUCCACAAUAAGCAACUACUCUUUCUGCUAGGAAACGAUAAUCUUCUUUUGGUUUUGCUUCUUUAAAUGCGUGCCAACUAAGAAGCUCAAGGGAUUCAUCUGAGUUCAUUAGCUCUACCUGAAAAAUAGAAUCAGUUUGAUAUAUCAUCGGUAGUUUUUCAGGUGUUGUUGUAAUGAUUAUUACACUUCCUCUUCCAUACCAAUGACGGCAUUCCCAUAGUAAUGUGGCAUCAAACGGAGGCACAUCGUCAAGUACAAUGAGCACCCUUUUCCCAGAAAGUCUUUCCCGAAUCAUACGUCUUCCCAUCUCAAAGCUAUCUAUCUCUACCUUUGUUUUUAGGACAUCUGAAAGGAGUUGUUCUAGUAAACCAAGAUCCCCUCUUAUUCCGAUAACUUGUCCAAUAUCUUCAAUGAAACUUUUCUCCGUGAAUGUAUCAUGAAUUUGAUGGUAGAUGGCUUUAGCAAGGGUGGUUUUACCAGAUCCUCCCUGUCCACAUAUCGCUAUCCUACAAACUUCCGUGGAUUUACUUUUGAUAGUUCCAAUCAGAUCCUCCACUUGGUAUUGUAAUCCAACUGGAAAUUUAGUAGCAGACAACACUGGUAAAUUAAGAACGGUCUUAACAAUUUUGUCCACUAGUUCAGCAUCACUCCUUCAAGUUCAAUAGCAAUUAUGGAAGAAGUCAUGUCAUGUAUUACCAAAAUUAAAUCAGAAGCUUAAAAUAUGGUGAUUGAGUGAGUGAUUUACCUGUAAUUGCUCUCAUCCCAUCCAAAGAAAUUUGCAGCUUUGGUGAGUGCGUGGCUCCAUUUGGACAUGGCAUGUUCCAGUUGUUGUCCUGAAAAUGUUUGGUGUGCAGUUUCUUUCAAGGCUUUUCCAAAAUCACCCUUCUGAAGACGUACAUCAGAUGGCUCAAUUUCGUAAUAAACGGGCAGAACAUGUCGACAAUAAGUUUCUUUCCAUCUAAUGAUUUGUUGAAGCUGGUGAAGACACCAAGCAGAUUGAGAAUAGGUUUUGGUGAAAACAACAAUUGCUACACGAGAGAGAUUGAGAAUAGGUUGUUGGAUGUGAAUUGGGUUGUGUGCAUUGGGGUGGUGAAGGAAAGUGGUGAAGCCAACAGCAGAGAGGGCAGAAUUGAGAUGAGACACAAAUUUCCUUUGGAUGUCUUCUCCAGUAAAGUUGAUGAGUACAUCGUACAUCCGUGGGAGUUUGGAUGUUGAGGAGGCCAAUUCCAUGGAAGGAAUUGAUGAGGUCAUCAACUGUUAGCAGAAGAGAAACAAAUGAUGCAACGCAGUCAAAUAAUAUGCACAGACAUAACCGUUAAGGACACCAAAGAUGAAUAAUACAUUUUUUUAUAGUCAAAUGAUAUCACAGAACCUCUUUUACUUUAGCCAUUUUAAAAGUUAGACCAAUGCACGCCAACUUUGAAUCACUGAAAAAAUAAAUAUUAUACUAAUACCUAUGAAAUUUUCUCCAAUAUAUUCCUUUUUUAUAUUAUGCGUCCAGCUUUUUAAGUUUUAAAAUAUAACAUGCAUGUUUACAUUACCCAUUCACCUCGUUAACAUAAAUCAUUGUAACAAAGUAACAAAAUAAAAAAAAAGUAUAAAUAUAAUUUGAAAAAAUUUACGACAGGUCAUUUUUUAUAAACAAGUAGCGAUGAAGUUCGCGCACAUCAAUGGAGAAGGAAAGGUGUCAGUGAAAGGGUAGCUUUGUCAAAUGAAAUAAUUGGUUUCAAUUGGUUCGUUGACAAAAAUUUCUUGCUAGAUUUGCCUAUUAUUGGCAAGAAGUGCACAUGGUUCAAAUCAAAUGGAUCAACUAAGAGCAGGUUAGAUAGAGUGCUUGUGAACAAUGAUUGGUUACAGAAUUGGUCAGGGUGUAAACAGCAGGUAGUGUUUGAUCACUAUGUUUUAGUGGUGAAGUUUAUGGUAAAAGACUGAGAUCCUAAGCCAUUCAGAACUAUCGACGCAUGGCACAUGGAGAGGGGAUUCAAGGAGCUGGUGCAAGAGAAAUGGAUGUCAUACUCUACACAAGGGAAUGACAUGAUCAAACUCAAAGAUAAGUUGAAGAUGCUAAAGAACGACCUAAAAGUCUGGAACAUGGAUGUGUUUGGUAAUAUUGACUUAAAAAAGAGUAGAAUCUUGAAGAGAAUAGAAGAAGUUGACUGUCAAGAUGCAUAUGGCAAGCUGGAGGGAAGUUCUAGGCUUGAAAGAAUGGAACUCGUUAGCCAAUUGAGGGUGACAAAUAAAAAGAUAUAAUCUCUCACUAGUCAAAAGACGAGAGUAAAUUGGCUAAAGCAUGGGGAUUCAUGUUCAAGAUACUAUCACUCAAUUCUAAGGUGGAGAAGACUUAGGAAUGAAAUCAAAAGAGUUGAGGUCGGAGGUGAGUGGUGCGAGGAGCCUGAAGUUGUUAUAAAAGAAGCAAAAAAGUUGUUCCAAGACAAAUUUGUGGCUACUAAAGACGUCGGGGUUAGAAUUGGUGCGGCUAAGUUUAAAACCCUCUCUGUGGAAGGAAAUCUUAUCCUUAUUGUUGAGUUCACUAAGGAAGAAGUGCAGGAAGCGGUGUGGCGAUGUGAUGGCUCAAAGAGUCCUGGUCCAUAUGGAUAUAACUUUAACUUCAUCAAGAAAAGUUGGGAUGUUAUUAAAAGUGACAUUGUAGCAGUGGUGGCACAGUUCCAUGAUUCAAGUAGCAUACCAAAAGGAUGUAAUGCUUCGUUUAUAGCCUUGGUCCCUAAAGUUAGUGACCCUUUGAAGCUUGAUCAGUAUAGACCAAUCACCUUAGUGAGUGCUCUAUAUAAAAUCAUAUCGAAGGUGUUGUCUUGUAGAAUCAAGUCUGUUCUGCCAUCGGUGAUAGAUGGGAGUCAUUCGGCCUUUUUGAUGGAUAGAGGGAUGCUGGAUAGCGUACUAAUGGCGAAUGAAGUGGUAGAGGAGCUCAGGAGGGAUGGGAGGAGUCUCCUAUUUUUAAAGGUGGACUAUAAAAAGGUGUACCACUCGGUCAAGUGGGAUUUUCUUUAUCAUAUGAUGCAAAGGUUGGGGUUUCACUAUAAAUGGAUUUUAUGGGUCAGAGAAUGCUUGGUUUUUGCUUCGGUCUCGAUUUUGGUUAAUAGAAGUCUACUGAAGAAUUUAAACCGACGAGAGGGUUGAGGCAGGGUGAUCAUCUAGCACCAUUCCUAUUUAUCAUAGUAGCUGAAGGCCUUGCUGAGUUAGCCAAACAAGCUAUAAAGGCCAAUGCGUUAUCAGGCUUGAAGAUUGGUAGGAAUGCGGUAGAGGUGUGCGUGCUUCAAUUGGCUGAUGAUACACUUUUUCUAUGUGAAGACUCCUUUAGAAAUGUAAUCACUAUGAAGGCUAUAUUGAGGGGCUAUGAACUUGCAUCAGGCUUGAAGAUUAAUUUCCAUAAGUCGAAGGUUGCAGGCAUAAAUGUUGAAAGGAAUGCCCUGGAUCUCUACGCUAAGACCUUAAAUUGUACGCAGAUGUCGAUUCCUUUCAAGUAUUUGGGGCUUGAAGUGGGUGGUAACCCUAGGAAGAUAAUGUUUUGGGAGCCAAUCCUAAGGAAACUUAAAGCAAAACUCAGUGCGUGGAAAGGGAGAUUCUUGUCAUUGGCAGGAAGAAUAUGUUUAAUUAAAUUUGUCCUCUCAGCUUUGCCUCUCUUCUAUCUAGCAUUCUAUAAAGCGCCAGAAUUCGUAUUAGCAUCACCAGCAUCCAAAGGAGGUUCUUGUGGGCGUGGGGGAAGGAAGAAAGAACAAUAUCAUGGGUAAGAUGGGAGGAUGUGUGUAAACCUAAAGAGGAAGGUGGGUUGGGUGUUAAAGACAUUAGAAAGUUUAACCAAGCUCUUCUGGCUAAAUGGAGGUGGUGUUUACUGAUUGGAGAGAAAGGCAAAUGGAGAGACUUGCUGGUGUCAAAGUAUGGCUCGGCUGCUAGUACGCCAGUGAAGCUCCAAUCAUGGUGGUCGGGGGACCUGUCCAAAGUUUGUCAUGGGGGAGGAGGUGGUGGAUGGUUUCAGGAAGCAACAAGUUUGAAAAUAGGAGCUAGUGAUAAGGUUAGAUUUUGGAAGGAUGUGUGGGUUGGAAAUCUGAACCUCAAAACAGUAUUCCCUAGGUUGCAUUCUUUAUCCUUGAACCAGGGAGAAAAGGUAGGUGAGGCUGGCGUGUGGGUAGGAUCAGAAUGGCGGUGGAGUCUAAGGUGGAGAUGUGCUAGGUUUGUGUGGGAAUCUAUUAUGGAGGAAGAUCUUUUAAGGCUCAUAUCUCAAACCAAUCUGUAUAAAAAGGUGAAGGGCUACCAGGUGUGGAGGAAUGAAGAAUCAGGGAUGUUCUUAGUGAAAUCGGCGUAUGAUCACUUAACUAAUCCUGUAAGAGGUCCUCACAAUGACCUCUUCAAGUGAUUUUGGAAGAUAAAAGCGCUACCCAACGUGUUGUUUACGGCCCGGAUGGUCUUAUUGGAUAGAAUUCCAACAAGAGUAGCAUUAAGUAGGAGAGGAGUGUCAGUGCCUACUCCCUUAUGUGCUGUGUCAGGCUAAGGAGGAGUCAAGUCAACAUUUAUUCAUAGAAUGCAUGAUUGCCUAGAAGGUUUGGCCUACAUGUUUUAGAUGGAUUGGUAUUCUAUCGGUGCAACACAAUGAAUUGAAGUGCCAUUUUGAGAAUUUUCAUCUGGAACAGGUGAAUAGCAAUCAAAACUUGGUAUGGAAAGGUAUUUGGGCAAUCAUAGUGAGGUGUAUUUGGGAUCAUAGAAACAACGUUAUUUUCAAACAAGGAGCAGUUAAUGCGGAAGAGAUUUUCCAUAUGGUACAACUUAUGUCUUGGUUGUGGAUGAAGUAUAGGACUCCUUCUUUCAAUCACUCCUACACGGGUCCUGAAUCCCCUUCCAUGUAUUAGAAGUUAUAGGUAAGGGGAAGGAAUAUAGGAAGCAAUUAUGGAGGGAAAGGUUGAAUGUAGGGUAGCUAUAGUACUCGAAGGAAACUAUCACGUGAAGGGUGUUUAGUAGGCUGGGAGAGUUCAGGUAGGGGCAGCACAAAGUAGAGCAACCUUAUCAAUGCUGAUGCAGUUCUAAGGAGUUGCAGGAAUUAAUAGUAGCAGCAGAGGUGUUGAGCCUCUCCCCAAGGAUUCCCCAGUUUCCAUUUCAUUAUGAGACUGGUGUAGAAGUAGGAUGUGGACUUUAUGUAGCUCUGCUACUGGUGCUGGUCCAGAAGCAUAGUUCUCAAGGUAAAGGUGUCGGUAAAUACUAAAGGCAAGUUUUUAAUGCUUACUUGAGGGGCGCCAGGGUAAGCUAUGCAGGUUGUUUUGGUUGCAUAACUGACGACUAGACUGUGCUUUUGAACUAUUGGUGUAUCAGCUGUUGGGAGAAAGCCUGUGCUGGCCAGUCUAUGAGAAGCAGAACAUACUCACUUCAGUUUUGAGUGCACCAAUAAAUCUGCAUAAUUUAGGUGGUAUAAAUGCUACACUUCAGAUGCUAAUUACGGUACUCUGAUGAGACUUUUAAUCAUAAAGCGCAAGUUGCACAAUGAUGGAAAAAGAAUUUUAAUUUCAACUAGAAGGCUGUUAUUAAGGUGCGAAACAGAACAACUCUGUAGCAUUUGAAGCAAAAAUGUCAAAGGUCUAUAGGUUCUGCUUUGUGGACCCUUAGGAGGAGAAAAUGAAAUGCCUGGAUGAGGUAGCAGGAGGCAUUAGCUUGCUGAUUUUGAGGAGCUGAAGGGGUCAGUAAAGUCUGAGGUGAGUAGAGGUAUCGGGCAGAUUUAAGAGAUUGGGUGAGAAGCCUCUUAGAGGGUGCAAAGCUGGGUUAGUAUGUAGAAAGUUGUGAAGGGAAGGUGAUGCGAGAAGUACUCAAUCCCAAUGCAGGAAUUUGUUUGAACCUGGAAGUGGAGGGAUUGGUUUAAAUGUUGAACUAGCUUUAGAGAACAAUUGAGGAGGCUUAAGGAGAAAGUGUUCGUUUUUUGAGAAAUAAGCACCAGUACUCUCCAAGUCAAUUUUCUAGCCUUUAUUAGAAUCUCUUAAGGAAAGUUAGAAAAUGCUGCAGCCAAUUUGUUCGAGAGUUCAGUUUCUGCUUGAAGAUUAUGCUUGAAGUACUGUGCCGGUAAUUGCUAUGUCCAUGAGUAGAAUGGCUUGAGAAGAUUCUGCUGCAGCCAUUAGAUAACCAUGCAGUUUGACUCUCUGAGGAAGAAUGGUGGAAAUAAGGUAGAAUGAAAGGUGCAUGAAAAUAGGCGUGAUGAUGCAGUUAAGGCAGCAAAAGAGCCUCUUUGCUGUUGUAAAGGUUGGCCAGAGUUUUUUUCAAUACUUGCAUUUAUGUUGGUGUGUGGUAGAGAAUUUUAUGGAAAGUGCUUCUCUGCUGUAUAAGGUGCUGUUAUCAACAUUGAGAUAUCUGCAGUCUCAUGCUUACUGCAUAAGUUUGAAGGUCUAGGACCUAAUUGUUUGUGGAGGAUGCUUAGUCUUUAAUAUGUAGCCUUUUUUUGGUGAUGGCAACUUUUCAAUGGUUCCGUUUGUAGGAAAGUUGCUUAGAGUGUUUGUUGUUGUAUAAUGGUUGGACACUUCUAAAAUAUCUUUUUUAAUUUAUUAAUUUUUUAAUAAUUAAAAAAUAAACAAGUAAAGAAAUUGUGUCUCUUUAUUAAAAUAUAAUAAUUAUUAAAAAUAUUAGUUAAAUGAAUGUCUUUUCUAAAAUUACUGAGCUUAUAGUGUCAUUUUAUUAAUAAAAAAAUUAAUAUUAGAGGAAAUGUUCGCCUAGGGAAAAAAAUACAUGUAAUUUUCUCUUUUAUUUACAAUACAGAUUGUAAAAAAAAAAUGAAUGAAAGUGAUAAAUUUAAUAUAAUUUUAUUUAUUACACUUUUUACAUUAUAAAAUUGUAUAUAUCCUUAGUGAAAAAUCCAUUCUUGAUACCACUCUCUUCGCAUGAGGAGAGUUUCAAAAGUAUUUCAUUUUAAAACAACUUAAAGUGGGUCUCCAAACAUGGAAAAGGGUAAGUACUUUCUUGGAAAUUCCUCAUACACAAUCAUGUAAAAUGAGUCAAUUACGUCACCUAUUUUUAUGUUGAACUCCUACGCAAAAAAAUAUGGUAAUAUUUUCGUAAAUAUUUCAAACAUGUUCAGAUGUUCUAGGGUCUCAUGUAAAUAUUCAUAUAUUUACGUCAGAAGUUGCUUAAAUAAGAACACAAUGCAUCUUCUUCCUUGCAUUUUGAACGCACAUGAAUCCCUCUUCUUCUUCUCUGACGAAGGCGACUACAACGCGAGUCUGCACUUGUUGGUCAUCUAAAUUCUACUUCCGUCUUUAUGUCUCAUUUGUGGCGGCAGACCUUUCUCUCUAAUUGCAUUAUUGGAGCAUUUGUGGGUGAAUGUUUGUCAUUCAUGUUAGUUUUUUCACUAGUAUAAAAUGAUGAAAAUAAUACUCUUAUUAAGUGCGGCUUUGCGUUCAAACGCAUUCGUAAAAAAUACGGUGACAUUUUUUAAAUUAAUUUGAUUUACAAAUGCGGCUAUUCAAAUAGCCGCAUUUGUAAAUCUUUUUUUACCCUAAAAUUUAAAUUGCACACACUACUUUCAUAUUUUCUUCUCCACUUUGCCUUUCGUUUUCACUGUUCCUCCGCUCGCGUACGCUUGCAGUUCUUCUCUUCUUCUGCAUCUUCAUUAAUUUGUGUCAUUGUGAGUUUCUUGAAUUGCUUUCUUUCUCUGCAUCUUCACUACGUAUAAAUCUUUUUCGUUUUUCCUUAUAUUUGUUUUUUCUCCUUGCAUUGUGGUCAAACUGUUCCAUUGGCAUUCUCAUCUCCAUCGCUACUCUGCAACCGCUUCCGCUGUCGUUGCUGGCGCUCCCCUGCCACUCUUCACCACCAACGUCGGUUCACACACAAGAUUAGUGUUCUGUUUUAAAUUUUUUGAAUUUUUCUUUAAUAUUUUGAAUUUAUUUUUUUAUGUAUUAUAAUUUGUAUAUUAUUUAUAAAUAAUUUGUACAUUGUGGGUUACAUUUGAACAUAUUUAUUAUUAUUUUUAUUUACUGAAGCAUAUACAAGUGCGGCUAAAAGUCGCACUUGUAAAUUGUAUUUAUAAAUGCGGCUAUAUAACCGCAUUUGUAUCUCUUCGAUUUACAAGUGAGUGUUGAUCAAAUGCGACUAUAUAGCCACAUUUAUAUAUUCAAAAUAGCCGCACUAGUUGUGUGUUUUUGCACCAGUGUUUAUAUCUUCUUUUUACUAUUGAAAUUGAAACUCUGGUAGUUUUUUAGAUCUCAAUCAUCAUGAUAAUGCAUGAAUGUUUCCAUUGAAUUGUUGUUAGUUAUUAUUGAUAUUGAAAUUUUUGUUAAAUUAAAUGUGUUAUUUAGUUGUUUAUAUUUCAAAUAUUAAAAUUAAUGUUUGUGUAAUUGUGAAUAUUAUAAGAUGUUUAAAAUUGUAUUCUACACAUUAGAAAUAGUCAAAAUUAUAGGGAUUAAUUAUAGAAAAAGGCAUUUGUUUGACAGUUGUAUUUUCAGCAAUUAUAGUUAUCAAGGAUUUCAUUCGCACUAUAUCUUUUUCCAUUAGGUCAAUCUUCCAACAACCAGAUACAAUCAGAGUUUUUAAGAAUUUCAACUUAUACAUCUUUCUGGGGAGAUUGCUUAGAUUUGUACAGUCUUGCAAAUUUAGCAAUGUAAGAUACAAGAGGCAUCCAAUAGAUUGGUGUACUUCCCUCAAUCUUGUUCAAUCUUUGAGAAUGAGUUGUUCAAGACUUGGUAUAUGAAAAGUCAGGUUUCUAUCAAGUACUUGGAGUGACUAAGAUUAAGGACUUUUAGCCACGUCAAAACCUUCAAGAAGAUAGCUUUUGAUAAAAUAUUAGAGAAGCAAAUGAGAAAACGAAAUGGUUAUAAGUGAAAACAAAUAAUGAUUUUAAAAGAGAAUGGCACGUAAUAAAAACCUGGGGUUCUUUCCAAACGAUACGAAGAAGACUGUGUUUUACGUCAAUCACUAUUGCAUCAUGCAGAUAAAUAUCUUUAGAUAGGUAUUCUUAGAAAGGUACUCGAAAUGUCCAGCGAAUUUCAGCAGUCUUGAUGGUCUCUUACCUCUAAAGGAUAACGUUCCAGGAAAUCACUUGCGGUAGGCAAUCUCUGAAUCACUUUUGUCCUUUUAGAUGAAAAGAGCAAAGAAAAAGAAAUAUAUUGCUCAUGAGAAAGCAACCACUUCCAAAAAGAAGUUUCAAAACCAUAGAUAAAGGGUGUUCUUACCGUAUGCUCUGACAGUGCAUAUUCUGCAUCCUUAUUAAACCACAGUUGACUGUUCUUCCCUGAAAUUUGACGAAUAAUUUAUCUUCCCAUUUGUCGUAGCAACGGAUGCAUUCCUAAUUUCCUGUUCUUAUCAUGAGACUACGCUAUAUGAGAACUCUUAUUCCACUAUCCGCGUCUAUUCCACAGCCAUUUAGGAACUUAGUAACAUAGACUCUGUCCUUACCAACAAAGGAAAGAACAUACAUCAAGGAAUAAAUCUUUUUCCAUUUGAUUGUGUAACCCGUCGAAACUUGUUUUCAAUAUUGUGUAAAAUAAAUAUGAAUUUAACUAUGAGCUAUACUCAAAGAAAAACAAGGAAAGGAUCAGAAAGAUAAAUUGCACUAUAGGACACAAGGAUUAAUUCCAUAACUCAAGGGAUCCUGCUUUUCUCAAAGAAGAUGAAUGAAUUGUAAUAAGGACACACGGAUUGAUUCCAUAACUCAAGGGAUCCUGUUAUGUUCUCAAUGAAGAACAUUAACUCAGCAGAAGUCACACAUUACCAUUUUCUUAAAGAAUUUAAUUAAGGUAUUUUCCAUUGGCUCAAGGCAAGAAUCCAUUUCCAAGUCAUUUGAUUCACCAUAUAUCAGAUAGGCAACUGUGUUAUUGACCACCAAUCCAUAACCAAAAGUCACAAAAAUCUCCACGUUGUCUCCUGAUCCUAAACUUGACAUUACGCCAUGCCAAUCUUCAUCAUUAAAGGAAAUUACUGCGUCAUGCUUGUGCAUAUGUAACGUGCAGUUUGUGUAAUUAACAAUUAAGACAGUAGUAAGUUUGGGUUCAAUGAUUUUGGAGGUUGAUAAAUAAACAACACACAAAGGCAUUCCCUUUAUCUCACGAUCUCCAGGUACAGUGAAAGAAACAGAAUGUCCCUCACCCUUAUGGGCCAACCAAUAAGGAUCAUUGUCACCCGGGAGAGAAACAUCACAAAACUCACUGCUUACCAAUACCUGCACAAUGAGAUGAAAAGCUUAGUCAAUUAUGUAAUUUUUCAAUUCAAACUGUCUUCUGCAAUUAUUAUUUUAUAAUUCAAAUUACAAAAUGAGAAUUAUAAUCAAAUAAUGUAACUCAUAAUUAAGAAAUACCACUGAUAAUUAAUUUAAACAAAUCUGGCUAAUAGUCUUGUGUAUAUAUAUAACACCAUCAUGUCCUUAGGACUUAGAAUGCAUUUCUGUUUUCGUCUCUUACAGUUUAUAAUUCUACGAUCAUUGGGAAUAAAACAAUUAUGAAGCAAGUAAAGCAAGAAAGUGGAAAUCAAUUUCCUAUUAAAUAGUAUAAAAAAGUAUAAUCACUUGGUUAGUUGAUUAUUAAAAUUAGAUACUUUUAGAUGAAGCUGUGUGAUAAUAGAAGUGAAGAGGUCUAAAAGUUUCAUAUUGUAGUUUCUGUCAGAUACUUCAUCAGGAUUAUUUAAUGUUCUCUUAAUAAUAGCUAGAAUGAUAGUGAAGGUUAUAAACAAAGGGAAAGCUAGAGAAGAACCUUAGAUAUGCUAUCGUUCACAGUAUUGAAGAGUUCAUUGUAUCUUCCAAAACCAAGGAAAGAAGACCUCAACUGAUGCUUUGAAAUUCCUGAUUCUGAAAUAUUUGCACCAUAUUCGACCAGAAUAGUUUUUACUUGCUUAGAUUGCUGAAACUCGGUAUCACAUUGCACCAAAACACUUCGAAGAUUUCAAAGAAUUUUAAACAACGGUGCAAUAUCAUCCCGACUACUAUCCUCCUCAUCCAUGCAAACCAAAUGAAUAUAAGAUAGGGGAUCCAUUGUUGGUGACAUCCAAGACCUAAUGAUAGAAGGAAAAAGAUUAUGUGACAAUCCCUCAAAUCCACUUAGGGAUAUAUAUCCAAUGCUUUUUGAGUAUACAAUUGAAAAAGGCACUUGUUUGACAACUGUAUUUUCAGCAAUUAGUGUUAUCAAGGAUUCCAUCUGCACUAUAUCUUUUUCCAAUAGGUCAAUCUUCGAACAACCAGAAAGAAUGAGAGUUUUCAAACAUUUCAACUUAUAUAUCUUUCUGGGCAGAUUGCUUAGACUUGUACAAUCCUUCAAAUUUAGCAGUAUAAGAUUGCAGAGACAUCCAAUAGAAGGGUGUACUUCGCGCAAUCUUGGGCAAUCUUUGAGAAUGAGCUGUUCAAGACUUGGUAGUCCCGAAAUGUCAGGGGUUUUUGUCAAGUACUUGGAGUGACUAAGAUUAAGGACUUUUAGCCACGCCAAAACCUUCAAGAAGAUAGUUUUUUGAUAAAAUAUUAGAAAAGAAAAUAAAAUAGUUAUAAAUGAAAACAAAUAAUGCUUAUUUUAAGCUGAAAUUGAAAAGAAAAUGGUACGUCAUAAAAACCUGGGGUUCAUUCCAGACGAAUCGAAGAAGACUGUAUUUUAAAUCAAUUGCUAUUGCAUAAUGCAGAAAAAAGUCAUUAGGAAGGUAUUCUGAAGAAAACCCUUGCAAACUGAACCAUCUCAGUUUCAUAUAGUGGUACUCAUAAUUUUCUGCGAAUCUCAGCAGGCUUGAUGUGUCUCUUACCACUAAAGGAUAACGGUGGAAGAAAUCUUUUGUUGUUAAAAGCAUUUUCAAAGGCAAUCUCUGAAUGGGCUCAUUGGAUUUAUCCGAAAAACAGAAUCAACUUCAUGAAUCCUCAGUAUGUGUUCAUCUCUCGUUGUAAUGAUUAUUAUAGUUCCUCCACUGAAGCAACGGCGGCAUUCCCAUAGGUCGAGUAAUGCACAAAACUCAGGCACAUCAUCAAGUACAAUGAACACCCUUUUCCCAGAAAGUCUUUCACGAAUCAUUCUUUUUCCCAUCUCAACGCUGCUUAUCUUCACCUUUGUUUUUAGGACAUCUGAGAGAAGUUGUUCUUGUAAACGAAGAUCCCCUCUUAUUCCACUAAAUUGUCCAAUAUCUUCAAUGAAACUUUUCUCCGUGAAUGUACCAUGAAUUUGAUUAUAGAUGGCUUUUGCAAGGGUAGUUUUACCACAUCCUCCCUGUCCACAUAUCGCUAUCCUACAAUCCUCCGUGGAUUUACUUUUGAUAGUUCUAAUCAGAUCCUCCACUUGGUAUUGUAACCCAACUGGAAAUUUAGUAGCAGACAAGACUGGUAAAUUAAGAAGGCUUUUAACAAUUUUGUCGACUAGUUCAGCAUCACUCCUUCAAGUUCAAUAGCAAGUAUCGAAGAAGUCAUGUAUUACCAAAAUUAAAUCUCAAGCAUAAAAUUUGGUCAUUGAUUGAGUGAUUUACCUGUGGUUGCUUUCAUCCCAUCCAAAUAAAUUUGCAGCUUUGGUGAGUGCCUGGCUCCAUCUGGACGUGCCAUGCUCCAGUUGUUGUCCUGAAAAUGUUUGGUGUGCCGUUUCUUUGAAAGCUUUACCAAAAUCACCCAUCUGAAGACGUACAUCAGAUGGCUCAAUUUCGUAAUAAACGGGCAGUUUGGAUGUCGAAGACAGCAAUUCCAUGGAAGGAAUUGAUGAGGUCAUGAACUAUUACAAGAAGAGAAAGCAAUAAUGCAACAAAGUACGCCGAAGAUUAAGACUUUUUCUUUUUAUACUUGUGGAAUCGAGUUAAGACCAUAAGAGACCCUUCUUUACUUUAGCAUUUAAGAUAUGGCUAAUUCUUUAUGCAAGUGAAGUAAAUUGAAAAAGUAAAUCUUGAAAAGAUUCUUGUAUUCUUAAAUUGUAAAAUCAAAAUCUCAUUUUGAAAAAAAUAUUAUAGAAUCAAAAAUACAUUUUAGAAAAUAAAUUUUGGAAAACAAAAUCCAUAAAGUUAUAUAAUGGAAUUAAAAAAGUGUUCUAAAAAUCUAAAUCUGAAAAUGUAUUAUAAGAGGUUCCAAAAUGUAUUUUGAUCCACUCCCCCUCUUUAUUUAAGGGUAUUUUUGUCUUUUCAGAUAAAAAUCGGAUGUAAGUUCAAAUUUCAUUGGGUGGAAGAAGUAAUUGCCUUAAGAUAAUAGGCUAACACUCACUUUGAAUCAUAAAAAAGAAAAUAUCAAUAAUUACAAAAAAAAUUGUAAUUAUAUUUUUAUACUUUUUAAUUUAAGAACAUUACAUUAUCUCUUCUUUUAUUUUAGUCAUAUAUCCCUUUUAAGUUUAAAAAAUAAAAAAAUACAUUAUAUUUUUUUUCAUAUUUGUGUAUAUCUAAAGAGGUCAUUGUAAUAUAGAUCACAACCUUCAAGAAAACACUCAAACUGCUGAGCACUUCUAUCAUACACUGAACGAAUUGAGGCCAAAAAAGUUAAGAGAUCCAAAUGUCAAAGGACUGAGCGAAUCCAAAAAGGUUGAGCGCAAAGAUUCAUUCACCAUGAAGAAAGCCAAAAUUUGCUCACGAAAGACUUGAAGUCAUCAUGCACCAAAAUUAGAAGGAAAAGGAUUUCGCUUGAAGCAAAGCCCAAGCAAAAAUCACUUCAUGGCUAAGAAAGAGAAAGUGUUGGGCUCAGGUUGGAAUGAAUCCUUGAUAGAUAGAUCCUUAAAUCUAAGAAUCCCAAGAAGCCCAAGAACUUGUCUUGAAGCCCAAAGAUUACUCUAGCCUAAACAUAUGUGCUAUAUUGUUAUUGUUAGAAUUAGUGGCCUAAACAAGAGGGGAAGUGAAUUAUUUUCAUAAGAUUUUUGCAAAGAUUGGAAAUAGAGUGAAAAGUUCUAAAUCAACCAAUUGAUUUUCUGUUCAACUGGAUAAAAAUUUAGUUUUAAUGUUCUUUACAGAAAUUCAACCGGUUGUUUUCUCGAAACAAGAGGUUGGUUAAACCAGUAGAAAAAGAACAAUUAUUAAAACAAUAUAAAAGAAAAGGGAUAGAGAGAUUCACGCACAAAGGUUUAUACUAGUUUACUCUUAACCAAGAGCUACAUCCAGUCCUCAACUAACCAAUGAGAAUUCACUAUGUAAUCAAACCUAGAUUACAAACCACACACCAAGAAACCACACACCAAGAGUGAUAUCUUGAACCCCUCAAGAAUCACCACCUUGGCAACACCACAAUUUUCAUAAACACCUUUUUGAAACUACCUUUCACCAAAUACACCGAAUUAUAGUGUUCAAAGUGAAGGAAAAGAAUACACAUGGGCUUUACAAAGUAGAAGAACAUAAGUAUACAAAGACCCAGUCCUAUUCCACACACAAGUGAUGAUCCAAAACUCUUGAACUCUUGAAAAACGUUUUUCAUCAUCUUUCUUUCUUUGGUUCUUGAAAAGAAUAUCAAAUAACCUUUAUAUAGACUUAAGCAAGUGGUCAAAGUUGUUAGAUCAUAAAUCAAAAGAAGUUGGAAUCAUUUAAAAACAGUUCAAAACACUUCAUAAAAUUUUGUUAUAAAAACAACAAAUUGACAGCAAAGCCAAAACAAAGCAAAGUUUUCCCAAAUCAUUUUAAAAACCACUAAGUGUCAAACAACCAAUUGUUUCGACAAUUCAACAUGUUGAAAUUUCACGACUUUUUAGAAAACACUUCUUUUCAAAAAAGAUAAAGAAUCAAGUGAGCUUGGAUCAAUACAAGGAGUGAAUUAACAAGUAAAAAACUACUAGACAACACACACACAUAGCAGCAGGGUCUUCAAGCUUUUCACAUAGAUUUGGAGACAUCAAAUCAUCUUGUUCAACAGUUAUUCUUUUACUUUCAAUAUCUUGUUAAUAGAGUAAGUGGAAAGUAUUUUUAAAAAGGGUAAAAUAAUAUUUUCCAAAUAUGAUGAGGUGCAGGAAGAAACAUUCUUAAAAUUAACAUCAAUAAAAAAAUAGUAACUCUAUGACCAUCAUUGUACCAACAACACAGGCUUUCCCCAAAUUUUUUAUUGUAUAUCUAAAGCUGAGCUUACUUAGAUUAUCCAAGGCAAGUUUCUCAUUAGAUAUCUAGUCAGCCAAAACGUGCAACAAUUUAUUUUGAAUGCCAAUAAGAGCAACUUGUUUAUUUUAAUUACCUUUUUCGUCUCUACAUUUAGAUUCAAUAGUGAAUUUAAUACCGUGGUUUUUAAAAAAAUCAAUUUGAUUCCUAAGUUUUUUAAAAUGUAUUCAAAAUAAUCAUUUCUGUUAAAUUUUUACCAACGACAUUAACAGUUGAUGACGUGGCACACAGUAUAUAAGUCUAGGCACGUGACAUAUACGUGUCACAUAAGACGUUGAGACUAUAGUCUUUUACCGUUCAACCUUGCGCCGGUCACAUUCACCGCCAUUCAGAUGAUUUUUGGAGUAACCGUGGCUAUCAUACUUGGAGGCAAGGAAUCUCACCAAGGAGGAGUACGUCGCGAAUCAUCCCGUCGGCAAGAUCGGGAAGAGUCUCAUCUUUAAGGUCCUUUUUUUAUUCAUUUGUAUCUGUGUUUGAAGGAUUUGUAUAAAACAAGAAGGAUUAAAAAACAAAGCAAAUGUGAAGGCCAAGAGUAUGAAGAAAAGUUUAGGUAGUUUGGUGAGUUGUUCCACUGUGUAGUGUAAGAGAAAGAGAGAGAUAGUGACUCUGAUUCACUCGCCAAACCAUCUGCACAACAUAAUUCAUUAUACAGAUCGCUCUUUCCUCAUUUCUCCCUUAACGGACAAAUAUACCCCUCCCCUCUCCAUAUCAUUUAUAUAAUUCAUUCAUAUUAAAAUAAUAAUCUACAUCUAUAUUAUUUUUCUAAAGUGAAAUGGGUGCUGCAAUUCACGAGCUUCCACGACUAUGAAAAAUAAAUGUAUCUUUGGCUACUUUGAAUGGUUUUGUGUCUUUUUGACUGUGUUGCAUUAUUGCUUUCUCUUCUUCUAACAGUUGACCUCAUCAAUUUCUUCCAUGGAAUCGUCAUCUUCAUUAUCAAAUCUGCCACGGAUGUACGAUGUGCUUAUCAACUUUAAUGGAGAAGACAUCCAAAGGACAUUUGUUUCUCAUCUCGAUUCUGACCUCUCUGCUGUUGGCCUCACCACCUUCCUUCACCACCCCAAUGCAGUCAAUCCAACGCACAUCCAACAACCUAUUCUCAAUCUCUGUCGGGUAGCAAUUGUAGUUUUUACCAAAUCCUAUUCUCAAUCUGCUUGGUGUCUUAAUCAGCUUCAACAAAUCAUCAAAUGGCACCAAACUUAUUGCCGACAUGUUCUGCCCGUUUAUUACGAAAUUCACCCAUCUCAUGUACGUCUUCAAAAGGGUAAUUUUGGAAAAGCCUUCAAAGCAACUGCACACCAAACAUUCUCAGGACAACAACUGAGGCAGGGCAUGUCUAGAUGGAGCCACGCACUCACCAAAGCUGCAAAUUUCUUUGGAUGGGAUGAGAGAAAUCACAGGUAAAACACUGACUCAAUCAACCAUAUUUUAAGCUUCUGAUUUUAUGUUGGUACUACAUGACUUCUUCUAUGAUUGCUAUUGAACUUGAAGGAGUGAUGCUGAACUAGUGGACAAAAUUGUUAAGAUCGUUCUUCAUUUACCAAUCUUGUCUGCUACAAAAUUUCCAGUUGUAUUAGAAUCCCGUGUGAAAGAUGUGAUUCAGAGCAUAAAAAAUAAAUCCACCCAAGUUUUAACUAUACUGAUAUGUGGAAGAGAAGGAUCGGGUAGAACCACUCUUGCCAAAGCCAUCUACAAUCAAAUUCAUCAUACAUUCACGGAGAAAAGUUUCAUUGAAGAUAUUGCAGAAGGUAGUCAAACAAGAGGGUAUGUUCAUUUACAAGAACAACUUCUUUCAGAUGUACUAAAAACAAAGGUGGAGAUAAGUGACGUUGAGAUGGGAAGAAGUAUGAUUUGGGAAAGACUAUAUGGGAAAAGGGUGCUUCUUGUACUUGACGAUUUGAAUGACUAUGGCGAAUUAGAUCUCUGGGGAAGUAGUUCAUGGUUCGGUGAAGGAACUGUAAUAAUCAUUACAGCGAGAGAUGAAGUAGACCUGCCGAGUAUGCUUGAAGUUGAUUCUGUUUUUCAGAUGAUUCCAAUGAACGCAAACGAGUCCCUUGAGCUUCUUAGUUGGCACGCAUUUAGAGAACCAAAACCAAAAAAAGAAUACCGUGUACUUGCAAAAAGAGUAGUUGCUUAUUGUGGAACACUACCUCUAGCUCUCGAAGUCAUUGGAACUUAUUUAUACAAAAGGACGAAAGAUGAAUGGAAUAGAGUAUUGAUAAGAUUAGACAAUAUUCCCCAGCAUGAAGUUCCACAGAUAUUGAAAAUAAGUUUUGACGGUUUAGCUAAUCAAAUAGAAAAAGAUUUAUUCCUUGAUGUAUGUUGUUUCUUUGUUGGUAAAAGCAGAGCCUAUGUUACCAAGAUCCUAAAUGGCUGUGGAGUAGACUCUGAUAGUGGAAUAAGAGUUCUCAUAAAGCGUAACCUCAUCAAAGUUAAAGAAAACAACAAAUUUGGAAUGCAUCAUUUGCUACGAGAAAUGGGAAGAGAAAUUAUUAGUGAAAUUUCAAGAAAGGAAUCUGGGAAGAACAGUCGACUGUGGCCUCAUGAGGAUCUAAAACAUGAAUUUUCAGUGAAUACUGUAAGAGCAUUCUUAAUCUAUGAUUUUGAAACUUCUUUUGGAAGUGGUUGAUUUCUCAUGUGCAAUACAAAUGUUUUUCUUAGCUCUUUUCAUCACCGGGUAAAAAGGUCAUUCAGAGAUUGUCUAGCGGAAGAGAUUUCUUCGAACGUUAUCCUGUAGAGGUAAGAGACCCAUCACCGGAUACAAAAGUCUUCGAACUCGCUGGACUGCUGAAACUCGCUGGAGAUUCCGACGACCAUUCUAAGAAUACCUACCUAACGGCUUUAAUCUGCAUGAUGCAAUAGCGAUUGAUUUAAAACACACUCUUCUUCGAUUCGUCUGGAAAGAACCCCAGGUUUUUAUUACGUGCCAUUUUCUUUUAAAACUCAGCUUAAAAUACAAAUAUUAUUUGUUUCCACUUAUAACUAUAUUAUUUUUUCAUUUUCUUUUCUAAUAUUCUUGAAGGUUUUGGCGUGUCUAAAAGUCCUGAAUCUUAGUCACUCGAAGUACUUGAUAAAAACCCCUGACUUUUCGAGACUACCAAGUCUUGAAGAGCUCAUUCUCAAAGAUUGUCUUAAAUUGCGCGAAGUACACCAAUCUAUUGGAUGUCUCUGCAAUCUUAUACUGCUAAAUUUGAAGGACUGUACAAGUCUAAGCACUCUCCCCAGAGAGAUAUGUAAGUUGAAAUCUUUGAAAACUCUCAUUAUAUCUGGUUGUUGGAAAAUUGACCUAUUGGAAAAAGAUAUAGUGCAAUUGGAAUCCUUGAGAAUUCUAAUUUCUGAAAAUACAGAUGUGAAACAAGUGCCUUUUUCAAUUGUAAGCUCAAAAAGCUUUGCAUAUUUAUUCCUACCUGCAUUUGAGGGAUUAUCACAUAAUCUUUUUCCUUCUGUGAUUCGGUCUCUGAUGUCGCCAACAAUGAAUCCCUUAUCUUAUAUUCAUUCCUUCAUGGAUAUGGAGGAUAAUAGUUGGGAUGAUAUUUCACCAUUGCUCAGCAGCCUUGCAAAUCUUCGAAGUGUUUUGGUGCAAUGUGACGCCAAGUUUGAACUAUAUGAGCAAGUAAAAACUAUAUUGGUCGAGUAUGAUGCAAAUAUUACAGAAUCAGGAAUUUCAAAGCAUAAUUUCAGGUCUUCUCUGACUGGUGUUGGAAGAUACAAAGAAUUCUUCAAUACUGUCAGCGAUAGCAUACCUAAGGUUCUUCUCUAGCCUUCCUUUGAUUAUAACCUUCACCAUAAUUUUAGCUAUUAUUUUUUAGAACAGAAAAUAAUCCUAAUGAAGAUUUAGUAGAAACUACACUACUGAACUUUUAGCACCCUUCGCUUCUAUAGCCCCACGACUUCAUCUAAAAGUAUCUGAGUUGAAUAAUCAAAUAACCAAGUGAUUAUGCUUAU